rnacentral:rRNA from 1 species
UACGGAGGGUGCAAGCGUUGUCCGGAUUUAUUGGGUUUAAAGGGUGCGUAGGCGGUUCUUUAAGUCCGGGGUGAAAGCCCACUGCUCAACAGUGGAACUGCUCUGGAAACUGGAGAACUUGAGUACAGACGAGGGCGGCGGAAUGUAUGGUGUAGCGGUGAAAUGCAUAGAUACCAUCCAGAACCCCGAUUGCGAAGGCAGCUGCCUAGACUGUAACUGACGCUGAGGCACGAAAGCGUGGGGAGCGAACAGG